rnacentral:rRNA from 1 species
GAUGAACGCUGACAGAAUGCUUAACACAUGCAAGUCAACUUGAACUUCGGUUUGGGUGGCGGACGGGUGAGUAACGCGUAAAGAACUUGCCUCACAGAUAGGGACAACAUUUGGAAACGAAUGCUAAUACCUGAUAUUAUGAUUAUAUGGCAUCGUAUAAUUAUGAAAGCUAUAUGCGCUGUGAGAGAGCUUUGCGUCCCAUAAGCUAGUUGGGGAGGUAACGUCUCACCAAGGCGAUGAUGGGUAGCCGGCCUGAGAGGGUGAUCGGCCACAAGGGGACUGAGACACGGCCCUUGCUCAUACGGGAGGCAGCAGUGGGGAAUAUUGGACAAUGGACCAAGAGUGUGAUCAAGCAAUUCUGUGUGCACGAUGAAGUUUUUCGGAAUGUAAAGUGCUUUCAGUUGGGAAGAAAAAAAUGACGGUACCAGCAGAAGAAGUGACGGCUAAAUACGUG